rnacentral:rRNA from 1 species
GAUGAACGCUGGCGGCGUGCCUAAUACAUGCAAGUUGAGCGACAGAACAGGGAGCUUGUGCCCUUACGGUUAGCGGCGGACGGGUGAGUAAGGCGUGGAUAAGCUUCCUCUUAGCCGUGGAGAACAUCGGGGAACAACUGCUAAUAACACAUAAUAAGUUUAACGGCAGGUUUCAAGAGUUAAAGGGGCAUUUGCCGACUGUAUGAGAGGAGUCCGGGUUGCCUAGUUGGCUGGGUAAGGUCACGCCUAGCCAACGCUCCGUAGCUGGUCUGAGAGGAUGAUCAGCCACACUGGAACUGAGACACGGUCCAGACUCCUACGGGAGGCAGCAGUGGGGAAUAUUGGACAUGGGGCGCAGUCCUAAUCCAGCCAUACCGCGUGGGUGAAGAAGGCCUUCGAGUUGUAAAGCCCUUUUGUAGGGAAAGAAAAUCAGCAGGUUAAUACCCCGCUGUUCUGACGGUACCCAAAGAAUAAGCACCGGCUAACUUCGUG